UGUAAGCGUAUACCAAAGUUGUUGCAGUUAAAACGCUCGUAGUCGGAAUUUGGCAGUUCCGGAUGUGUGCACGUCGUGUGCGCACUUCGCGGGGAUUGCUUUUGUGGUCUUGCGUAGGAUGAGGCACAUUUAUUAGUGAACGUCCUCACGCAACCACUUUUUACUGUGAGAAAAUCAGAGUGCUCAAAGCAGGCAUUUGCCGUGAAUGUAUUAGCAUGGAAUAAUAGAAUAGGACUUGGUUCUAUUUUGUUGGUUUGUUGGGACUGAGUAAUGAUUAAGAGGGGCAGUUGGGGGCAUUUGUAUUUCGGUGCUAGAGGUGAAAUUCUUAGAUUACCGAAAGACAAACUGCUGCGAAAGCGUCUGCCAAGGAUGUUUUCAUUGA
rnacentral:rRNA from 1 species